rnacentral:misc_RNA from 1 species
UGCCUGUUCGAGCGUCAUUACAACCCUCAAGCUCUGCUUGGUAUUGGGCGUCACCCCCGGGUGCGCCUUAAAAUCAGUGGCGGUGCGUCUGGCUCUAAGCGUAGUAAUUUAUCUCGCUAUUGGGUCCGGUGGUUGCUUGCCAACAACCCCCAACUUCUAAGGUUGACCUCGGAUCAGGUAGGGAUACCCGCUGAACUUAA